AGACGCACUCGUGCCAGCCGCCGCGGUGAUACGGAGGAUGCAAGCGUUAUCCGGAAUGAUUGGGCGUAAAGCGUCCGCAGGUGGCAAGUCAAGUUUGCGGUUAAAGGUUCUGGCUCAACCAGAGACAGGCCGUGAAAACUGACUAGCUAGAGUAUGGUAGGGGCAGAGGGAAUUCCCAGUGUAGCGGUGAAAUGCGUAGAGAUUGGGAAGAACACCGGUGGCGAAAGCGCUCUGCUAGGCCAAAACUGACACUGAGGGACGAAAGCUAGGGGAGCGAAUGGGAUUAGAUACCCCAGUAGUCCUAGCCGUAAACGAUGGAUACUAGGGUGUAGCUUGUAUCGACCCAAGCUGUGCCGUAGCUAACGCGUUAAGUAUCCCGCCUGGGGAGUACGCGCGCAAGCGUGAAACUUAAAUGAAUUGGCGGG
rnacentral:rRNA from 1 species